rnacentral:rRNA from 1 species
UACGGAGGGUCCCAAGCGUUAUCCGGAAUUACUGGGCGUAAAGAGUUGCGUAGGCGGUUAAGUAAGCGAAUAGUGAAACUGUGUGGCUCAACCAUGCACCCAUUGUUCGAACUGCUUUGACUAGAGAAUGGAAGAGGUUGCUAGAAUUCCUAGUGUAGGGGUGAAAUCCGUAGAUAUUAGGAGGAAUACCGAUGGCGUAGGCAGGCAACUGGUCCAUUUCUGACGCUCAGGCACGAAAGCGUGGGGAGCGAUCGGGAUUAGAAACCCGUGUAGU